CUUUUAUUUGGUAUUAGACUCACAGCAGACGAUGUCAGCGGAGAAACUAUAAUUCCUCUAAAAUAUGUCAAAUUUCAAAACGUCCAAAAUAUUACAUUCUUUGUAAAAGACAAUCAAGGUGAUGAGGAACUUACAGUGAUCAACUAUCUUUGCAUUAUUGGAAGUACGCUUGAAGCAACAAAUAUGCAAGAUUUCAAAAGAAUUUCAGGAAAGAAAGGCGAAAGUCACUAAAAAUGAAUCAAGUCAAAUUUUAACUUUUCUCUGCCACAUAAACAUUUCAAAGAAACCGCUGGUGAUUAUUAUAUUAUCGUAAACUACUAUACUGUACAUUUGUUUCCAAAAUAAAAGCAAUGAAUAUACCCCAGUUUAACUAAAUUGUGAAUUAAAUUUGACAAAGUAUUUCAGUGUAAUAAAGCUUGAUGAUUCUACUUGC